GACGAACGCUGGCGGCGUGCCUAAUACAUGCAAGUCGAGCGAAUCAUUAGGAGCUUGCUCCUGAUGGUUAGCGGCGGACGGGGGAGUAACACGUGGGCAACCUGCCUGUAAGACUGGGAUAACACCGGGAAACCGGUGCUAAUACCGGAUAAUUCUUUCCCUCACAUGAGGGAAAGCUGAAAGUCGGUUUCGGCUGACACUUACAGAUGGGCCCGCGGGGCAUUAGCCAGUUGGUGAGGUAACGGCUCACCAAGGCGACGAUGCGUAGCCGGCCUGAGAGGGUGAUCGGCCACACUGGGACUGAGACACGGCCCAGACUCCUACGGGAGGCAGCAGUAGGGAAUCUUCCGUAAUGGACGAAAGUCUGACGGAGCAACGCCGCGUGAGUGAUGAAGGCCUUCGGGUCGUAAAACUCUGUCGUUAGGGAAGAACAAGUAUCGGAGUAACUGCCGGUACCUUGACGGUACCUAACCAGAAAGCCACGGCUAACUACGUGCCAGCCGCCGCCGUAAGAC
rnacentral:rRNA from 1 species